rnacentral:lncRNA from 1 species
UAAAGACCUAGAUCUCCCGACCAGGGCUAAAUUUUUGAACUUUUUCGAGCUAUCCAAGGAUUAACUGCAGCCAUAGGACAAAAUCAAGCCAACCCUUGUCUACCUCCUGCUCCCAAAUUUUGAAACACCAAGAGAUCCAUUUUCCACGAUAUGGCAGAGUUUAGGAAACUCAACUCACCACAUUUUGAAGGAUGCCCUAAUCCCUUAGUAGCUGAAGCCUGGAUCCUACAGAUAGAGAAACUUUUCUUUGUCCUAGACCUGACCGAGGAACAGAAAGUUCCCCUUGCAGCCUUCAUGCUAAGUGGCAAAGUAGAACACUAGUCGUGACUUAAAAAGGAGUCCUGCCUACCCGUACCACUUGGGAAGUUUUCAUGGAUGCAUUCUUUGAUAACUUCUUCCUU